AAGGAAAGGAAGUUGCCUAAUAAUUAUGCACACCUGAUAUAGGGUGUUGAUGUCAUUAGACCACACCCCUUCUCAUUACAGAGAUGCACAUCACCUAAUAUGCUUAAUUGGUAGUAGGCUUUCGAGCCUAUACAGCUUGGAGUAAGACAACAUGCAUAAAGAGGAUGAUGUGGUCAAAAUACUCAUUUGCCUAAUAAUUCUGCACUCCCUGUACAUCAAGUCUAUGUUGUCUGUCAUGAAUGAGUUAAUUUAUAUUGUUAGAGAAUAUGAAGUUAUGAUGUGGGCAUUAAAAGUAUAUUUAUUGUGAACAACUUCAUUGUUGUUUUAUUACUGUGGCCACUAACGUGUAUGUUGCACAUAUGUUGAUGUAUUAAUGAGGUGAUGAAAACCAUGUUUAAACUAGUAUGUAUAUUUUUUUAUAAUAGUAGCUUUAGCACUUACAUUAGGAGCAACAUAAAAAUGUGCUGUAUUUGUUGAAAUAUGUGGAAAACCAUUUUUAUAACUGUAAAUAUGGGCAGUGAUUUUGUAGGAAAUAGAUUUUAGCAGUGUUACUUUAUUUACCAAAUGCACAGCAUCCUCAAAUCGUGAGAUGAUUAAGAAUGGUGGGAGAGUGUUGGGUUAUCGGAACAACAAAGUGUCUCAUGCUUAAUGAUUUUGUUGUUUUUUAAUAAUGUAGCAUCACAAAUUUACUGUACAUCUGGGAUCUGUUUACCAUGAGGCAUACAACAGCCGUGACAUAAAUGUAUCAUGUUUAUUCAUUUAUGUGUGUUUGUUUUUUUUUCCUAUUUAAAUAGAGAUUGUGUACCUGCUGCCCUCUCUGCAGUGGAUAUAGGGGGUGAGCAAAGGGCUAGUAAUU